GAUGAACGCUGGCGGCGUGCCUAAUACAUGCAAGUCGAGCGAACGGACGAGAAGCUUGCUUCUCUGAUGUUAGCGGCGGACGGGUGAGUAACACGUGGAUAACCUACCUAUAAGACUGGGAUAACUUCGGGAAACCGUAGCUAAUACCGGAUAAUAUUUUGAACCGCAUGGUUCAAAAGUGAAAGACGGUCUUGCUGUCACUUAUAGAUGGAUCCGCGCUGCAUUAACUAGUUGGUAAGGUAACGGCUUACCAAGGCAACGAUGCAUAGCCGACCUGAGAGGGUGAUCGGCCACACUGGAACUGAGACACGGUCCAGACUCCUACGGGAGGCAGCAGUAGGGAAUCUUCCGCAAUGGGCGAAAGCCUGACGGAGCAACGCCGCGUGAGUGACGAAGGUCUUCGGAUCGUAAAACUCUGUUAUUAGGGAAGAACAUAUGUGUAAGUAACUGUGCACAUCUUGACGGUACCUAAUCAGAAAGCCACGGCUAACUACGUG
rnacentral:rRNA from 1 species